rnacentral:rRNA from 1 species
AUUGAACGCUGGCGGCAUGCUUUACACAUGCAAGUCGAACGGUAACAGGUUGAGCUGACGAGUGGCGAACGGGUGAGUAAUGCAUCGGAACGUGCCCGGUCGUGGGGGAUAACGCAGCGAAAGCUGCGCUAAUACCGCAUACGAUCUGAGGAUGAAAGCGGGGGACCGUAAGGCCUCGCGCGAUCGGAGCGGCCGAUGUCAGAUUAGGUAGUUGGUGGGGUAAAGGCUCACCAAGCCAACGAUCUGUAGCUGGUCUGAGAGGACGACCAGCCACACUGGGACUGAGACACGGCCCAGACUCCUACGGGAGGCAGCAGUGGGGAAUUUUGGACAAUGGGCGAAAGCCUGAUCCGGCAAUGCCGCGUGCAGGAAGAAGGCCUUCGGGUUGUAAACUGCUUUUGUACAGAGCGAAAAGGUCUCCUCUAAUACAGGGGGCUCAUGACGGUACCGUAAGAAUAAGCACCGGCUAACUACGUGCCAGCCGCCGCGGUAA